UGGACAGGGGGGUUCCCGCCGACAGGCGGGGCCUGUCCGACCGGCUGCGCACACCGUGCAGCCAGUGGUUGUCGCUCGGGGGUGAACGCCG
rfam:Streptomyces albolongus strain YIM 101047, complete genome.